AGAGUUUGAUCCUGGCUCAGAUUGAACGCUGGCGGUAUGCUUAACACAUGCAAGUCGAACGGUAGCAGGCCUUCGGGCGCUGACGAGUGGCGGACGGGUGAGUAACGCGUAGGAAUCUGCCUUAUAGUGGGGGACAACGUGGGGAAACCCACGCUAAUACCGCAUACGCCCUACGGGGGAAAGGAGGGGCUCUUCGGACCUUUCGCUAUGAGAUGAGCCUGCGUUAGAUUAGCUAGUUGGUAGGGUAAAGGCCUACCAAGGCGACGAUCUAUAGCUGGUCUGAGAGGACGAUCAGCCACACUGGGACUGAGACACGGCCCAGACUCCUACGGGAGGCAGCAGUGGGGAAUAUUGGACAAUGGGCGCAAGCCUGAUCCAGCAAUACCGCGUGUGUGAAGAAGGCCCUAGGGUUGUAAAGCACUUUCAAUGGGGAGGAAAACCUGCCGGCCAAUACCCGGUAGCUUGACAUUACCCAUAGAAGAAGCACCGGCUAACUCCGUGCCAGCAGCCGCGGUAAUACGGAGGGUGCGAGCGUUAAUCGGAAUUACUGGGCGUAAAGCGUGCGUAGGCGGUCCGUUAAGUCAGAUGUGAAAGCCCUGGGCUCAACCUGGGAACUGCAUUUGAAACUGGCGGACUAGAGUUUAGUAGAGGGGAGUGGAAUUUCAGGUGUAGCGGUGAAAUGCGUAGAUAUCUGAAGGAACACCAGUGGCGAAGGCGACUCCCUGGACUAAAACUGACGCUGAGGUACGAAAGCGUGGGUAGCAAACAGGAUUAGAUACCCUGGUAGUCCACGCCGUAAACGAUGUCGACUAGCCGUUGGUCCUAUAUACAGGAUUAGUGGCGCAGCUAACGCAUUAAGUCGACCGCCUGGGGAGUACGGGCCGCAAGGUUA
rnacentral:rRNA from 1 species